UACAGAGGGUGCGAGCGUUAAUCGGAAUUACUGGGCGUAAAGCGCGCGUAGGCGGCUUUGCAAGUCGGGUGUGAAAUCCCCAGGCUUAACCUGGGAACUGCAUUCGAGACUGCAUUGCUAGAGUAUGGGAGAGGGAAGUGGAAUUUCCGGUGUAGCGGUGAAAUGCGUAGAUAUUCGGAAGAACACCAGUGGCGAAGGCGGCUCACUAGACUGGUAUUGACGCUGAGGUGCGAAAGCGUGGGGAGCAAACAGG
rnacentral:rRNA from 1 species